UACGUAGGGUGCGAGCGUUAAUCGGAAUUACUGGGCGUAAAGCGUGCGCAGGCGGUUUUGUAAGCCAGAUGUGAAAUCCCCGGGCUUAACCUGGGAAUGGCAUUUGGGACUGCAAGGCUUGAGUGCGGCAGAGGAGACUGGAAUUCCUGGUGUAGCAGUGAAAUGCGUAGAUAUCAGGAGGAAUACCGAUGGCGAAGGCAGGUCUCUGGGCUGACACUGACGCUCAUGCACGAAAGCGUGGGGAGCAAACAGGA
rnacentral:rRNA from 1 species